AUUGAACGCUGGCGGCAUGCUUUACACAUGCAAGUCGAACGGCAGCGCGGGCUUCGGCCUGGCGGCGAGUGGCGAACGGGUGAGUAAUGCAUCGGAACGUGCCCAGUAGUGGGGGAUAGCCCGGCGAAAGCCGGAUUAAUACCGCAUACGACCUGAGGGUGAAAGCGGGGGACCGAAAGGCCUCGCGCUAUUGGAGCGGCCGACGUCGGAUUAGCUAGUUGGUGGGGUAAAGGCUUACCAAGGCGACGAUCCGUAGCUGGUCUGAGAGGACGACCAGCCACACUGGGACUGAGACAGGGCCCAGACUCCUACGGGAGGCAGCAGUGGGGAAUUUUGGACAAUGGGGGCAACCCUGAUCCAGCCAUGCCGCGUGCGGGAAGAAGGCCUUCGGGUUGUAAACCGCUUUUGUUCGGGAAGAAAUCCUCUGGGCUAAUACCCCGGGGGGAUGACGGUACCGGAAGAAUAAGCACCGGCUAACUACGUG
rnacentral:rRNA from 1 species